UACGGAGGGGGCUAGCGUUGUUCGGAAUUACUGGGCGUAAAGCGCGCGUAGGCGGCUUUGUAAGUUAGAGGUGAAAGCCCGGAGCUCAACUCCGGAACUGCCUUUAAGACUGCAUCGCUAGAACGUUGGAGAGGUGAGUGGAAUUCCGAGUGUAGAGGUGAAAUUCGUAGAUAUUCGGAAGAACACCAGUGGCGAAGGCGACUCACUGGACAACUGUUGACGCUGAGGUGCGAAAGCGUGGGGAGCGAACAGG
rnacentral:rRNA from 1 species